CGGGAUGAGCUCAAAUUUAAAAUCUGGCCGGUUUACUGGUCCGAAUUGUAGUUUAAAGAAGCGUUUUCGGUGGCAGCCUGGGUAUAAAUCCUUUGGAAUAGGGUAUCAUAGAGGGUGAGAAUCCCGUCUUUGACUCAGUGCAUGCUACUAUGUGAUACGUUUUCAAAGAGUCGAGUUGUUUGGGAAUGCAGCUCAAAAUGGGUGGUAAAUCUCAUCUAAGGCUAAAUAUUGGCGAGAGACCGAUAGCGAACAAGUACCGUGAGGGAAAGAUGAAAAGAACUUUGAAAAGAGAGUUAAACAGUGCGUGAAAUUGUUGAAAGGGAAACGUUUGACACCAGUCAUGCGGGCGGAAAAUCAGUCUUUUGUAGUGGGGAAGCGCGUGGGUUCAGACCGCAAGGCUGGCCUAUGUGUUCUCUCUGCUGCGAGUGAUGCACUUUUUCGUCUGCAGGCCAACAUCAGUUUCUUCUGCUGGACAAAACUCUAAGAGAAGGUAGCAGCUUAGGCUGUGUUAUAGCUCUGGAGCGAUACAGUGGAGGAGACUGAGGUUUUCGCAGCGUGUGCUCUCGGGCAAGGCGGAUUGGGUGCUAUGAGAUCGUUCGGCGUACAAUGCAUGCAUUUUGCGCCGUGUCUUUUUCAUACUCGCUCAACUCUGCUC
rnacentral:rRNA from 1 species